UCUGCUUUAUAUAUAUACUCAUUUUCCAACUUGCUGUGUUGAAAUUUUUGCCUUUAUUAUUCAUUUAUAUGUUUAUUCUCUGCUGCUUAUAUAUUUAUUCAUAAUUUUGCUCUUGCUAGUUAUUUAGUUUUAUUCUAAACUGUUAUAAUGUGCUUAAUGCUGUGGUUGCUAUAUGCUUUACUUUAUUUAAUCAAAUGCAGACUGACACAAAUGAGUUGAAGUUAGAAUAUGUAAAGUACAGACCACUUUUAAAGUGAUGUUUAUUCCAAAUUAAGAAUGAAACACUUGUUUAAAAUUAUCUUUCCUUGUUUGUGUUUAU
rnacentral:lncRNA from 1 species